rnacentral:lncRNA from 1 species
UUUUGGCUAAAACGGGGUAUCAUACCCGACGGGAACCGAUACACCCAAUAAGGUCAAAAAAUAGGAUACCUCGAAGUGCCAAAGGCAACGCCCCAUCAUCAAUCCACAAGGUGCCUCCGGAAUGACAAGCUACAUACGCAGCUACCCAAUCCGCGGCACCAUUACCUUCACGGUAAAUAUGCUUGGCCUGAAAGGCCCAUCCAUCCCUCGCCAUAGCCCAAAUGUCACGAAGCAAAGGAUGAUCACUACCGCCAUCCCUUGGACCCCCUGGAUCCAACUGAUGACAGUGGCUGAAUCACCCUCCAGGAUGAUGGACCUAGCCUGUAAGACAUACCGGGCAUGGCGAAGGCCCGCCCAGGCUGCUCUCAGUUCCGCACUCGGAACCGAAGUGUCAAAUAACUGACUGCCACCGGCAGCCACAACCCUGGCAAACGGGUCCCGAAUAACAAAACCUGCGCCACC